UACAGAGGGUGCGAGCGUUAAUCGGAAUUACUGGGCGUAAAGCGUGCGUAGACGGCUAUCUAAGUCGGGUGUGAAAGCCCCGGGCUCAACCUGGGAAUUGCAUUCGAGACUGAAUAGCUAGGGUACGGUAGAGGGAAGUGGAAUUUCCGGUGUAGCGGUGAAAUGCGUAGAUAUCGGAAGGAACAUCAGUGGCGAAAGCGACUUCCUGGACCAGCACCGACGUUCAGGCACGAAAGCGUGGGGAGCAAACAGG
rnacentral:rRNA from 1 species